UCUACCUUAAUAUGUAUGCAUCAUCAUCUCUAAGGCAAUAUUAUAGGUUAGGAAAAAAUCUGUGUUAAAAAGAGGGCGAAGGACACGUUGCAGAAAAAUUUCUCAAAUCUUUCAAUAUGUUUGUGUGCCUGUGAAUGGUUUUUGCAUUUCCUAAUCUUAUUUGAUCUUAUCUUCAAGGGGUCACGUGUGAUCCAAGGAUCAGUUGGUGGAAAAUGGUGUUUCAAGCUGUGUUUCCAGUCUUGGGCAUUCACCUAUGAAGUGCAAGCUGUGGCAAGAAUCAACCUUCUAGAUCAAAGGGAUAUAAUGACAAAAGAAAAGGACGAAGUAUCCCCAGAGUAAGAAAUUCCAGACCAAAGUCAAGGCUGGACAGCUUCAUGGAUUAGCAUCUAUUAGAUGUUUCAUACUUGGAGCUUAUACCGUAAAGUAGCAUGGUCAACACACCAGCUCUUACACUAGCAUAAGGACUACACCUGCAUACUCUUGAUUUACUUUAAUGUUUUCUUUCCUACCCCAAGACUGGAAAAAGCACCAGUUUUGAGAUUGUGUCUGAUUUUUCAUCCCUUGUGUGUUCCUACAGCUUUUUCCUUCUAUGAGUCUUUAAUAAAAUGGCUGAACACAUUUA